rnacentral:rRNA from 1 species
CNAUGCCUAAUACAUGCAAGUCGAGCGAACAGAGAAGGAGCUUGCUCCUUUGACGUUAGCGGCGGACGGGUGAGUAACACGUGGGCAACCUACCUUGUAGUUUGGGAUAACUCCGGGAAACCGGGGCUAAUACCGAAUAAUCUAUUUUACUUCAUGGUGAAAUACUGAAAGACGGUUUCGUGCUGUCGCUAUAAGAUGGGCCCGCGGCGCAUUAGCUAGUUGGUGAGGUAACGGCUCACCAAGGCGACGAUGCGUAGCCGACCUGAGAGGGUGAUCGGCCACACUGGGACUGAGACACGGCCCAGACUCCUACGGGAGGCAGCAGUAGGGAAUCUUCCACAAUGGGCGAAAGCCUGAUGGAGCAACGCCGCGUGAGUGAAGAAGGUUUUCGGAUCGUAAAACUCUAGUUGUAAGGGAAGAACAAGUACAGUAGUAACUGGCUGUACCUUGACGGUACCUUAUUAGAAAAGCCACGGCUAACUACGUAGCCAGCAGACCGCGGGUAAUACGUAGGUGGCGAGCGUUGUCCGGGAAUUAUUUGGGCCGUAAAACUGGCGCGCA